AGUGAACGCUGGCGGUAUGCCUAACACAUGCAAGUCGAACGGCAGCACAGUAAGAGCUUGCUCUUACGGGUGGCGAGUGGCGGACGGGUGACGAAUACAUCGGAAUCUACUUUUUCGUGGGGGUUAACGUAGGGAAACUUACGUUAAUACCGCAUACGACCUACGGGUGAAAGCAGGGGAUCUUCGUACCUUGCGCGUUUGGAUGAGCCGAUUUCGGAUUAGCUAGUUGGCGGGGUAAAGGCCCACCAAGGCGACGAUCCGUAGCUGGUCUGAGAGGAUGGUCAGCCACACUGGAACUGAGACACGGUCCAGACUCCUACGGGAGGCAGCAGUGGGGAAUAUUGGACAAUGGGCGCAAGCCUGAUCCAGCCAUACCGCGUGGGUGAAGAAGGCCUUCGGGUUGUAAAGCCCUUUUGUUGGGAAAGAAAAGCAGCAGGUUAAUACCCCGCUGUUCUGACGGUACCCAAAGAAUAAGCACCGGCUAACUUCGUG
rnacentral:rRNA from 1 species